ACGGGGUGCAGCAGGCGCGAAAACUCUACAAUGCACGAAAGUGUGAUAGGGUAACUCCUUGUGCUAGUGUAAAAACUAGCUUUUGUCAAGUGUAGUGUGCUUGACGAAUAAGUGGUGGGCAAGACUGGUGCCAGCAGCCGCGGUUAUACCAGCGCCACAAGUGGAAACCACUAUUAUUGGGUCUAAAGAGUUCGUAGCUGGUUUGAUAAGUUUUUUGUUAAAAUUCCAAACUUAACUUGGACUAUGCAAAAAAUACUAUCAAACUUGAGACUGGGAGAGGUAUGAAGUAUUGAUUGGGUAACAGUAAAAUGUUAUAAUCCUUUCAGGACUAACUAGGCGAAGGCAUCAUACUAGAACAGAUCUGACAGUGAGGAACGAAAGCUGGGGGAGCGAACCGGAUUAGAUACCCGGGUAGUCCUAGCCGUAAACUCUGUAGG
rnacentral:rRNA from 1 species